UUGGGAAUCUUCCGCAAUGGACGAAAGUCUGACGGAGCAACGCCGCGUGAGCGAUGAAGGCCUUCGGGUCGUAAAGCUCUGUUGUUAGGGAAGAACAAGUACCGGACUAACUGCCGGUACCUUGACGGUACCUAACCAGAAAGCCACGGCUAACUACGUGCCAGCAGGCCGCGGUAANANAAA
rnacentral:rRNA from 1 species